UACAGAGGUCUCAAGCGUUGUUCGGAUUCAUUGGGCGUAAAGGGUGCGUAGGUGGCGCCGUAGGUCGGGUGUGAAAUUUCGGAGCUUAACUCCGAAACUGCAUUCGAUACUGCGGUGCUUGAGGACUGGAGAGGAGACUGGAAAUUCAUGGUGUAGCAGUGAAAUGCGUAGAGAUCAUGAGGAAGACCAGUGGCGAAGGCGGGUCUCUGGGACAGUUCCUGACACUGAGACACGAAGGCCAGGGGAGCAAACGGG
rnacentral:rRNA from 1 species